rnacentral:lncRNA from 1 species
ACUGACUAGGCCGGCGUUGGGUGGAAUAGGCAGCGGCUGGAAGGCCCGCACGCCGCCCUCGGCCCGCCGCGGCGCGCAGACCCCGGCGUGCAGACAUGCGCGCUAGGGCCGGUGUCACCGGGCUGCCGCCUGAGCCGCGCUGCGCGUGCGCAGGGCAGCGUGGCCGUCACCGCCGCCGGUGGAAGUUUCCGAGCAGCCGGGCGGGGGCAGCGGACGCCACCGCAGGCGCUUCCCCCGCCGGCCGGCCCUCCCUCCUGACGUAAGGGCGGGCCCCGGUCGCAGAUCCCGCCCCAGGUCUCUCAUCCGAGGGUCCGUGCAGCAGGUCACGCUGCGCUCUCUGGGGUCCGCGCGUCGGCCCACGUGCUCCCUGCACCUCGCGGGGUGAGCGGCCAGCGUGCCGUGCCGGGUGGCUGGCUCCGCCGCUCCGGAGCCGGGAAGGACACGCGGCAGAGUCCUGCUCCCUAGCGGGUCUGCUUACAGGCGUUUGGUUUGCUUUUUAAAAUGAUUUUCUAUGCGAAAAGUGAAGUGAAAACUUCCAAGUUAAUUCCCUGGGCAAAAUGGGCAGUGCUAGCCGAGGAACGGCUGGUGGGCGGCGCGUCCGGCCCCCGGCUUCGGUUUUUCCAGCUGCACCGAGCGGGCAGGAGUCAGUGGGAAACCGCCCGCCAUCCACAGCCUGCCGUUUGCCAUCCCGGUGUCCCGAGCGCGAUGGAAGCCGGGUUGACAGUGGCACUGUUUGGAAUACAGCGCCAACCACACAUCCUGUGAGGUCCAAAGCAAACGCCAGUGUCGUUGAUCAUCGCGGUGCCCCGCGAGCCUGGGCGACGUGAGGCCCCGCGGCUGCCGCCCUGUCUUCAGGCGGAGUCCCCGCAAAUGCACUCCCGGGCCAGGGCCCUGAAGCUGCCUUAGCCCAGUGGCGCCCGGGCUCCAAGCCUUUUAAGUAGAACGGGACCUGGCCUUCGUACAGGCGUGUUGUAAAUGCUACCCCCUCGUCUCCAGCACAGAUGAGUAGACAUUACUAAGCACUUGACCCUUCAAACAUCGCCCCAACAGGAAAGGUCCGUGUGUUGCAUACAAAGGCUUUGGGGCAAGUGGUGGUGGUUAGUAAUGAAAAUGAAUGUUUCAGACGUUUUCAAAUACCUUCAUAUUGUACACGUGGAAAUCAUGACCAAGGAUUAGAACGUGCAUUCAGUAAACUACAGAAAAUCACACACAAGUCAAACGGCCGUUAUUCUGGAGCUGUUUGCUUCCAAUGGCUCAGUCCAAAAUCCUUGGUCAUGCCUGGCUCCUCUCUCUGUCCACAAUGAACACAUCCUCUUGGCUCCACUGCCCGAAACAACCAGAACCCAACUGCUACCCCUCCUCCUCCCUCCACCCCUCUUUCCCCGCCACCCGUCCAUUUUAAAGCAGUGCCUUCUAGCUGGUUUCCCACAUUCUGCACAGCUGCUCGUGUGAUCCUUUUUAAAAAACAAAAAAGAUGUUACUAUUUUAAAAAUCAUCUCAUGCCACUCUUAGAAUACUAUGCAGCCGUAAAAAGGAAUGAGAUCAUGACCUUUGUGGGGACAUGAAUGGAGGUGGAAGCCACUAUCCUCAGCAAACUAACACAGGAACAGAAAACCAAACACCGCAUGUUCUCAGUAAUAAGGGGGAGCUGAGCAAUGAGAAUGCAUCGACACAGGGAGGGGAACAACACACACCGGGACCUGUUGGGGGUUAGGGGAAGGGAGAGCAUCAGGAUAAAUAGCUAAUGCAUGCAGGGCUUAAUGCCUAGGUGAUGGGUUCACAAGUGCAGCAAACCACCAUGGCACACAUUUACCUAUGUAACAAACCUGCACGUCUUGCACGUGUAUCCCAGAAUUUAAAGUUGACAUUUUAAAAAAUUCAGUCCAUGCCACUCCUCUGCUCAAAACCCUCCAGUGGCUUUCUCAUUCAGCAAAAUGGAACAACCUUGCUAUGACCUGCAAGUCCCUUAUCCCCUGGUCCUUCCCCUCUUCCCCUGCCCUCACCUCCCAGCGCUUUCCCUAGCCCAAACAAUACCAGCCAGAAGCACCCCUGGCACACUCCUGCCUCAGGGCCUUUGCACUUGCUGUUCCAUCUGCCUGACAUGCGUUCCCUCCUCCCCAUCUUAGUGAGGACGUCCAAGUGGCUCUUUAGUCUAAACUGCAAACAUAACCCUCAGCAUCCCGUUUCCCUUCCCCAUUUGCUUUUUCUCCCUUAGUUUCCUGGAGCUGAGUAACAAAAUGUCACAAACUGGGUGGCUUAAAACAACAAACGCAUGCUCUCACAGUCCUAGAGGCUGAACGUCCAAAAUCAAGUUGUCAGCAAGGCCGUGUAUCCUCUGAAGGCUGUAAGGGAGUGUGCCCCAUGCUCUCCUCUCAGCUUCUGGUGUUGCUGGCAAACCGUGGCAUUCCUUGGCUUGUUGGUGCAUCACCCCACUCUCUGACACGUCAUCGCAUGACGUUUCCCUGUGUCCUUGAUUUGUGGAUGCAGCGCUCCACUCUCUGUCAUCAUCAUCGCAUGGCAUUUUCCCUGUGUCCAUGUCUCUUCUCAGAAAGACACCAGUGGCAUUGGAUUAGGGCACCCUAGUGUCUUCCUCCUAACCUGAUUACAUCUGCAAAGAGUUUCCAAAUAAGGUCAUAUUCGCAGGCACCCAGGGUUGGGACUUGAUCAUAUCUUUUUGGGGGACACUAUACCACGUCAUAUGUAUUUUAUCUCAUUUAUCAUUUGUGUCCCCCGCCCCAUUAGAAUGCAUGCUCCGUGAAGAGAGGAUAGGAAUGGCUUGUCCCUGCUGUGUAUCAGCUCAAGGAUUGUCUGACACAUCAGUCCUUGGUGAACAUUGGCAGAAUGACUGGCAGCUGAUUGAUUGGCCCAGCGGGAAUGGACACGGGCAGUUGCCCUUGUCCAGCUUCCAGGAUCUGUUACACAGGCCUAAAGCAACAACCAGAAGCCUUCCUGGGUGUUUACAUUACAGCACACCAGACUGCAGGCACCGCCACCCCAGACUCUGCCUGCAGCUAAAGUCACCAAGUUUGCCGUGCCCCAUAACUGAGGUCAUUGGCAGCCCAGCACCAAGCCUCACUGGCAUCAAGGGCAGCGGGUUAGUAAGCAUGGCUCCACACGGGUAAGCAGUUCUAGGAAAUGGGAAGAAACCCAGACCAUCCAUCUCAGGGUAAGUUUGCUGGAUUUUCUCUCUCUUUUAAGAGUCUUUCAACAGGGCAUACAGCCCAUUCUCAAAUUUAGAUUUCUGUUUUUGUUAAGAACAGGGACUGUGGAACGAAUUUGCCUGACUUUGCCAUCAUUCUGCCAUUUCCUAGCUAUGUGGCCUCAGGCAAACUGAUUAAACUUACUGGCCUCAGAAUGGGGAAAAUUUCUGUAACUCAUGCCUGGAAUUACGUGAAGAUGAAAAGCAGGCAUGUCCAUGAGAUGCUUACAAGAGGGACCAGCGCCGUGUACCUAUUCUGUGCAUCCUACCCGUCCACUGUUCCUUCUCCGUGUUUCUUGAAGAAGCUGGAGUUUUCUUUCAGUCUUCUGCUUCUCCUGUUGCUUCCUCUAACUGAAGGAAGAAUCAGUCCAUGGCUUCUGCUCCAUGCUUUCUGCUCUUGGUUCAGGCUCCAACUUUCCCAUUAAUGGAAGAGAAUGGCUCUCCUGCUCCCAGCUGUAAUGAACUAAUUAAUUUUUCUAUCUCUCUAAUCAUUCUCUAUUCCCUGCCAAACCCUCUGGGUGUCUGUUUUGUUCUAUUGUUCAAGCCUGGACUUUGAGGGUAGGCUGGGGGCAUUGCUAGUCCCCACAAUUGCUAAUCCAGGCACUUGAGUCAUUAUCUUCUAUACAUCACACUUAACAACCAGAGGGAAGUGCAACCUCGUGGGCCUCGGAAAGGAAACCACCCACAGACUUGUGCGCCUUCUUCGCAGGCCAGGCUCUCCUUCCCCCAUGGUAAGAAGGUGAAGACUUGGAGAUUGGUGAGUCAGGCAAUCAAGGUCAAAUUGACAUACUCUAGAAGAUUACAUGCCGUGUGGAACAGUACUGGGCAGUGGACCCACUGGGACAGGGGCUCAGGAGGCUAUGGCAGUCCCGCAGGAGAUUCUGGAGUAACAGACAUCCCCAGGACCUCAGCGUUUCAUAGGAACGACAUGGCACACAUUGGUGGUGGCUGUCCUCCCAGGCAGUACCCCACAUCUUGUCUUCCGUGUUUGGGCACCCAGGCUGGAGUAGCAACCCAUCUCAGUCAAUGGCAAAGGAAGAGGGGCUGUGUGUGAGCAGCAGGGAACAACUUUCAGCUUAUAAUUCGGGACUUACAGGAAAGAAAAGAAAAUGUCUACUCUCCUAAGAGAAAUCUGAUCAUCUGCCGGCAUAAAUGUUGGUUGACCUUGACUCUUCUCUUUGGAUGCCUGAAAACCUGAACAAGGCAGUUGGGGCCAGGACAGCCCAGAAAGGCAGGUUUGAGUGGGGGCCCCGGCCUUUACAGAAACAUUCUAGUGUCCAUGGUGAUCCUACCGGAAAGCCAGUGUCAAGAACCACUGAGCCCCAGGACGCAGGUUUCCUUGCCUCUAUCAAGAUACAGGCCCCGCUACAGUACUGCUGAGAGCAAGAAAUAGAAGCACCUGCAAGACAGUGCAGCCCUCACAAGCUAGACAUUUGAUGUCAUGGGAAAACUUGCACCCAGGCAGUUGAGUGCACUUGUUCAGCAGACCUGUUGGGGAUAAUGGGAAGAGGGAGCAUAUCUGGCUGACCUUGAGGACAGAAAGGAACUCUCAUCAAAAUUACUUGACCAAGAGAACAUUCCAGGUGCCCAACUCUGCCAAACAUAAUAGCAAAUAUGUACCAGGAAAGUAAGAAAAACUUAUGGGUU